UACGUAGGGUGCAAGCGUUAAUCGGAAUUACUGGGCGUAAAGCGUGCGCAGGCGGUUCUAUAAGACAGAUGUGAAAUCCCCGGGCUCAACCUGGGAACUGCAUUUGUGACUGUAGAGCUGAGUGCGGCAGAGGGGGAUGGAAUUCCGCGUGUAGCAGUGAAAUGCGUAGAUAUGCGGAGGAACACCGAUGGCGAAGGCAAUCCCCUGGGCCUGCACUGACGCUCAUGCACGAAAGCGUGGGGAGCAAACAGG
rnacentral:rRNA from 1 species